rnacentral:lncRNA from 1 species
AUCUACUCCUGGGGUAAGAAAAUCCUUAGUUUUUCGAAAAAUUCAAAGUUUUGUACACAGAAAAUUUAUAAAAAUGACCAUAUAAUUGAUAUUCAUGUCAACACCGAAGUGCUGACUACUGGGCUGGUGAUACCCUCGGGGACGAAACGUCCACCAGAAGUGGCAUCGACCCAGUGGUGUAAAUAGUUAUCAAAAGUACAAGGAUUAUAAUUUUAUACGCCAGACGCGCGUUUCGUCUACAUAAGACUCAUCAGUGACGCUCAGAUCAAAAUAGUUUGAAAGCCAAACAAAUACAA